GAGUUUGAUCCUGGCUCAGAAUAAAUGCUAUUGGUAUGCUUAACACAUGCAAGUCAAAUGUUUUUAAUAAAAAACAUGGCAAACGGGUGCGUAACACGUGAAUUAUCUACCCUUUAAUUCAGCAUAAUUAUUUUAAUAAAAAUUCUGAAUAAAAAAUAAAGUUUUAAAAACGUUAAAGGAUGAGUUUGCGGAAGAUUAGGUAGUUGGUAGUGUAAUGGACUACCAAGCCUACGAUCUUUAGCUGAUUUGAAAGAAUGAUCAGCCACAUUGGGACUGAGACACGGCCCAAACUUUUUUAAAGGCAGCAGUGAGGAAUAUUGGACAAUGGGCGAAAGCCUGAUCCAGCAAUACCAAGUGAGUGAAGAAGGCUAAUAGGUUGUAAAGCUCUUUCAUUAAGGAAGAAAAAAGACAGUACUUAAAAAAGAAGUUCCGGCUAAUUUCGUGCCAGCAGCCGCGGUAAUACGAGAGGAGCGAGCAUUAUUCGAAAUGAUUAGGCGUAAAGGGUUUGUAGGUUGUUUUUUAAGUUGAAAAAAAAAGAUUAAAGCUUAACUUUAUUUAUUUUUUCAAAACUGAAAAACUAGAGUAUAAAUAGAGGAUAAUAGAAUUCUUAUUGUAGGGAUAAAAUCCUUUAAUAAUAAGAGGAAUUUUCAUGGCGAAGGCAAUUAUCUGGGUAUAUACUGACAUUGAGGAACGAAAGCUUGGGGAGCGAACGGGAUUAGAUACCCCGGUAGUCCAUGCUGUAAACGAUGAGUGCUCAUAUUUAGAGAAAUUUAGAUAUUUAAAAAGCUAACGCAUUAAGCACUCCGCCUGAAGAGUAUAACCGCAAGGUUGAAAUUCAAAGGAAUUGACGGGAGUCUACACAAGCGGUGGAGCAUGUGGUUUAAUUCGAUAAUACGCGCAGAACCUUACCAAUUCUUGUAAAUAUUUAAAAAAUUUUAUUUUUAAAAUACAGGCGUUGCAUGGCUGUCGUCAGCUCGUGUUGUGAGAUGUUUGGUUUAUUCCCUUAACGAGCGAAACCCCUAUUUUUAGUUGCUAAUUUAAUUAGAAAAUAGUCUUUUUUGAUAAAUGCACUUUAAAAAAAGUUAAUGAUAUAUUAAUGGAAAUGGGGAUUACGUCAAGUCUUCAUGGCCCUUAUGAAUUGGGCUACACACGUGCUACAAUGAUAAAUACAAUGAGAGGCAAUAAUUAUAAAAAGUUGGAGCAAAUCUUUAAAAUUUAUCUUAGUUCGGAUUAUGGGCUGCAACUCGCCCAUAUAAAGUUGGAAUCGCUAGUAAUCGCAAAACAGCAUGUUGCGGUGAAUAUGUUACUAGACUUUGUACACACCGCCCGUCACAUCAUGGAAGUUAAUUCAUUUUAAAGCCGUUAUUUUGUUUAUUUUUAUGUUAAAAAAAUAAUAUUAUUAUAAAUAAUGUAUUUAUUGAUUUUAAUUUUAAAUAUUAUAAUUACUAAGAAGGGAUUCGUAACUAUGAUGAAGUCGUAACAAGGUAGUCGUAGGGGAACCUGUGGCUG
rnacentral:rRNA from 1 species